AAUAGAUACCCUGGUAGUCCACCCCGUAAACGUUGGGAACUAGUUGUGGGGUCCAUUCCACGGAUUCCGUGACGCAGCUAACGCAUUAAGUUCCCCGCCUGGGGAGUACGGCCGCAAGGCUAAAACUCAAAGGAAUUGACGGGGACCCGCACAAGCGGCGGAGCAUGCGGAUUAAUUCGAUGCAACGCGAAGAACCUUACCAAGGCUUGACAUACACGAGAACGGGCCAGAAAUGGUCAACUCUUUGGACACUCGUGAACAGGUGGUGCAUGGUUGUCGUCAGCUCGUGUCGUGAGAUGUUGGGUUAAGUCCCGCAACGAGCGCAACCCUCGUUCUAUGUUGCCAGCACAUAAUGGUGGGAACUCAUGGGAUACUGCCGGGGUCAACUCGGAGGAAGGUGGGGAUGACGUCAAAUCAUCAUGCCCCUUAUGUCUUGGGCUUCACGCAUGCUACAAUGGCCGGUACAAAGGGCUGCAAUACCGUGAGGUGGAGCGAAUCCCAAAAAGCCGGUCCCAGUUCGGAUUGAGGUCUGCAACUCGA
rnacentral:rRNA from 1 species